UCCCAAAGCAGAUAGCUCAGUCACUAGAGAAUAUGACUCUUAAUCUCAGGGUUGUGGGUUUGAGCCCCACAUUUUGCGAA